CUUGUGGUCAUUUCAUUGACAUCAAAGAAAACUCUAGAAAAUUUCUACAACAAGAAAUGAUAUUGCAGAUGUUACUGGAAUGGAGUAGCUCAACGAGAGUGCUGGGAAAUAAAACUUGUCUGGGAUUUUCUUUAAGUUGCUAUUUAUCCGCGUGUUUAAUUUUUAUCGUUGUAAAAGACAAAUAGUAUGUGUUUUCAAUAUGAUGUAAGAACAUAUAAUAAGUAAUGCUUUGCUUCCG
rnacentral:sRNA from 1 species